AUUGAACGCUGGCGGCAGGCCUAACACAUGCAAGUCGAACGAGUGGCGGACGGGUGAGUAAUGUCUGGGAAACUGCCUGAAGGAGGGGGAUAACUACUGGAAACGGUAGCUAAUACCGCAUACCAUCAGAUGUGCCAAGAUGGGAUUAGAUUGUGGGUGGGGUAACGGCUCACAAAGGCGACGACCCCUAGCUGGUCUGAGAGGAUGACCGGCCACCUGGGACCUGAGACACGGUCCAUACUCCUACGGGAGGCAGCAGUGGGGAAUAUUGGACAAUGGGCGCAAGCCUGAUACAGCCAUGCCGCGUGGAUGAAGAGGGCCUUCGGGUGGUAAAGUACUUUCAGCGGGGAGGCGUUACCCGCAGAAGAAGCACCGGCUAACUCCGUGCCAGCAGCCGCGGUAAUUC
rnacentral:rRNA from 1 species